GCAGUUCAGAGACGCCGACAGCCGACGCUCCCUGUGUUACAUGGGUUGCUUGGAAACCAGCGCACUGGGAGUGUGUAGUGCAACACACAGAGGCACAGGAUGCAGUACGUACAGAAAAACAGGCGCUCAAAGCCCACGUGUGGACAGCAUCCUCCAGACGCUCAUGAAGAUGCCCCACGGACUUCAGUUCAGUUCACACAGCCACUUCGGUCGCAGCGUCCCGUGGACGGAUCAGAGAUGUCAUCUGGUUGUCUCAAUUUGUGGAGUUUGGACUUUGGCCGGCUUCACCCCCUCCAGCUCAGAGGAUAAAGCCGGAUCAACAUCACAUCCCUUCUAGUAUCCAUGGGCUCAAGGAGGAUACAGACACUUCCUUCCCGCUCCACAUCCAGUGCAAAAAAAAUAAAAAUAAGAUGACGAACUGAUAAAGAUCUAAAAAUCUGGCGCCCCAGUCCAGGAUUAACACAGCAGCCUCUUUUCAGUGGAACGACUGGUUAAACUCUAUGAAAUCAGGCAAUGAGAUUACAGGGCUUGACUUUCCCAAAAGCGCUUACACAGUCUGCUUCAGAUUCCCACCCCUGUGCCUUUGUCCUGGAUGGCCUCGGCAGUCACCGGAGGCCUCGGCUCUUUACCAAACCAGACUCUUGCUGUUAAACAGCGGCCUAACA